rnacentral:rRNA from 1 species
AGGACGAACGCUGGCGGCGUGCUUAACACAUGCAAGUGGAGCGACGAACCAGGGCUUGCCCUGGGGCAAAGCCGCGAACGGGUGAGUAACACGUGGGUUACCUGCCCCGAUGACCGGGACAACCCGAGGAAACUCGGGCUAAUACCGGAUGUGCCCGCAAGGGGAAAGGAAGCUUCGGCCUCCGCAUCGGGAUGGGCCCGCGGCCCAUUAGCUUGUUGGUGAGGUAACGGCUCACCAAGGCUACGAUGGGUAGCUGGUCUGAGAGGAUGAUCAGCCACACUGGGACUGAGACACGGCCCAGACUCCUACGGGAGGCAGCAGUGGGGAAUCUUGCGCAAUGCGCGAAAGCGUGACGCAGCAACGCCGCGUGGGGGAAGAAGGCUUUCGGGUUGUAAACCCCUUUCAGUUGGGACGAAGCUUCGUCGGUUAAUAGCCGACUGGAGUGACGGUACCUUCACAAGAAGCACCGGCUAACUACGUGCCAGCAGCCGC